GUCCCCGUAGUUCAAUGGAUAGAACGAGUUCCUCCUAAGAAUUAGAUGUCGGUUCGAUUCCGGCCGGGGAUA
rnacentral:tRNA from 1 species